rnacentral:lncRNA from 1 species
GAGCUAUGCUGAGUUCAUGGUUUGAUUGACCACCUGCUCAUUUUGGUGACAGCAUCUUGUCCUUUACCCUUUGUCAUUUUGAAUGACUGUUGAGUUGCCAGAUUCUGUCUACUGAUCCUCUCACCCCUGAGUUCCAGCUAUCCAGCAAGGGUUCAAGACCUCAGCUCAACUAGAGAUCAAGCUGUCUGCACAUAGCCCAUUGCCACACAAUGGGGAAAGGAAGUAAAUUGAUGAGCUUACUCCAGAUGAGUCUCCAUUCAAAAUCAAGAAAUAGCCCACUCUCUAUGAUGUAGAACUAUCUGGAAGAGCUCAAUUCUGGACUUGCCAAUAUGAUGUUCUACCUGCUGCUUUGAUAAAUUGGUAUGAUGUGACAGAGUGAACUUGGAGAUCACAGAGGGCAGCCAGGGUUUACCUAUGGGUGUUGUUAAUAAACCUGUAGUGACAAUUAACAUCAUCCAGAACUGAACAAUCUAAAUAACUUACAGCUCACAAAUUGUAUUACUGGUCCACAUAUCAGGAGCUUACAGAAAUCAAACUGCAGAGACUUGGUGGCUUCAUUCAGACAAUCUUAAAAGCCAAAGAGGAAAUAACUAUUGUGAAUUCAGUGCUCAAUGGAAAGGGACUCCUCCUCCUCAGCACACAUCUGUGUAACUCGAUCCCACUUGCAAUGAGAAGCCUCAAAGACACACUUGAGCAAAUGUACCUCCUGGUAUUUGCUCUCAAGUACAUCUCUUAAGUAUGGACCAUUCAUAGUGUCUUGCCUGUGGCAGAAACAAAGCAGAGGAUUCCUCAAGCUAUGCCUAAUUUUUGGGUGUGGGCCUCUACAUGUGUUUCCAUCUGUUGCUGGGUGAAGCAGAGACCGAUGCCAUGACAAGGAUCCUAUAUGUGACACUGUUAAUUAUAUUCUGCUAUACUUGCAGUCAGGAGCAUAGCCUGACAUCAGAACAUUCCUAAGGAAGUUAUGUGUCCUUAGCAACCUUAUGAGGAAUUGUGGAUCUAGAUAGCAUUUGCAGUUGACUUCACCCUGUGACUCAGAGAUAAUCCACAUGGCAGGUUUCAGGCUGAGGAUAUAGAUCUGUGGGGAAAGUGCUUGCCAUGCAUGUUUGAAGAGCUGCAUGUGGAUCCUCAGAAGCCAUGUAAAUCUGCACACAGUAGAAACAUCCUGUAACUCCAGCACUCCUAAGAACUUAUUUGACAGUGGAUAAGUGAUGAAGAUGAGCAUUACCUAUUAUAAAGAUGCCUUUAAGGACAAAAUCAGAUAAGACCUAGUAGAUGAUAAAGAAAUUUUCAUCUAUCUGAAUGGCAACAGCCCCAUUCACAAGGAUUUUCCUGAAACAAGCUACAGAGAAGGCAGAAGUCUGAAAUCAAAGCAUCAGGAGGACCAGGCUCCCUUCCAAAAGGAGAACAUUUCCUACCUCUUUCAGACCCUUGUUGCUCCAAGCACCUCUUGGCCCAAGGCUACAUGGAUCCAGUAUUUACCUCCGUCAUCACAAGGCAGACUCCCCGGUGUCUUUUAUAAGGAUAUUCACCAAUAAAACUAACCAGGGC